CCUACGUGAGGCUGCAGUGGGGAAUAUUGCGCAAUGGGGGGAACCCUGACGCAGCCAUGCCGCGUGAAUGAAGAAGGCCUUCGGGUUGUAAAGUUCUUUCGGUAUUGAGGAAGGAGUGUAUGUUAAUAGCAUACAUUAUUGACGUUAAAUACAGAAGAAGCACCGGCUAACUCCGUGCCAGCAGCCGCGGUAAUACGGAGGGUGCGAGCGUUAAUCGGAAUAACUGGGCGUAAAGGGCACGCAGGCGGUUAUUUAAGUGAGGUGUGAAAGCCCCGGGCUUAACCUGGGAAUUGCAUUUCAGAAUGGGUAACUAGAGUACUUUAGGGAGGGGUAGAAUUCCACGUGUAGCGGUGAAAUGCGUAGAGAUGUGGAGGAAUACCGAAGGCGAAGGCAGCCCCUUGGGAAUGUACUGACGCUCAUGUGCGAAAGCGUGGGGAGCAAACAGGAUUAGAUACCCGGGUAGUC
rnacentral:rRNA from 1 species